UACGUAGGCAGCAAGCGUUGUUCGGAGUUACUGGGCGUAAAGAGUGCGUAGGCGGUCCUGUAAGUUGGUGUGAAAUCUCCCGGCUCAACUGGGAGGGUGCGCCGAAGACUGCAGGGCUUGAGUAUGGGAGAGGUAAGCGGAAUUCCUGGUGUAGCGGUGAAAUGCGUAGAUAUCAGGAGGAACACCUGUGGUGUAGACAGCUUACUGGACCAUAACUGACGCUGGAGGCACGAAAGCCGUGGGUAGCAAACAGG
rnacentral:rRNA from 1 species